AGAUGUGAAGGCGAUCUGGCUGCGACAUCUGUCACCCCAUUGAUCGCCAGGGUUGAUUUGGCUGAUCUGGCUGGUUAGGCGGGUGUUCCCUUCCUCCCUCACGGCUCCAUGUGCGUCCGUUCCCAAGCUCCACGCUCGGUCGAAGAGGACGACCUUCCGCAAUAGAGGAGGACGUUCUCCGUUCUUCGGCCAAGGGUAUACGGUAGCUGCGCUCCCCUGCUAGAACCUGCGAACAAGCUCUCAAGAAAUACGUAAGUGAUGAAAUAGCCUAUUCAAACACCAAUAAACUAUAACUUUCAGAAUAGCCUUAAAUAGCUCAAUAAGAUUUAUUUGGAAUGUU
rnacentral:snRNA from 1 species